CGUGGGUGCUUGCUGGGCAGUGUUUCCCAUCGGGUCUGUACCGCUUGGCGCCGCUCCUGCAUAUCCCGCGGAAGCGGCUGUGCUCACGCCAAGAGAUUACCCGUACGUCUGGGCAGCAGUUCGAUACCCGCUGUCGAUGAUCUGGUUGGAGCGUAGAAUCGCCAAGCGCGGUUUCCUUGUGACGCAGCGAUGACGCAUCGUACUGGCGCUCCCAGUGACAGAGGCUUGCGGAACGCACACGCUCGGAGCUAGGCAGGUGACAACGCCGUCCCGUUGCGAGCGGCAAUAUAGGUGCCAACCUAAAGCAGCGGAUGCCAGCGUGCGACAGAGAGAGGCCCGUUUGCCCGUGUUUUCUACUUGAAGAUUCUCUGGUUACAGGCAUGGUACGUAGGAACGAUGAUCCGAACUCGGCACCGUCAGAUGCGCCGCUGCCGCUAAUAACUCGGGAAGAAACCUUCGUUUCUUGCUGCGUGCUUCAGGGUUCUUGCAGCGCCUCUCCCGAGUUCCGCACGGGUACUCAGAUUUGACGAGCGAACGACCCUCGAGCUGCAGCGUCUACCGCAGACAUUGUAUAGAGUCAUGGCCCCAUUGAUGUGUUUCUGGAGAGGCUUGCUCGGGGCCAUCCGCAAAAACUGGCGUUGCACCAAACCCAUGUCAGAGUAAUAUGACACCGCUUCAGUCAGCUGACUCUAGCGAACACAUUCAAGUUUAGAUCGCGUUUUGCGAUCAUCGAUGCCAGAACUUGGCCGUUUUUCCUUCGACUGCUUCUUUUAGUACGUCGUAUCCCCGGCUUGAAAUGCGCUGGUAUCUCGUUGCGGUCCAGUUCCGUUUAUCAACAGUGAGAGGAUACUGAUGCCAGCGCUUUAGUACAUAUUUCGUCGGUUCCGACAAUUGUUGACCCCUUGCAUGCACAGGCGAACGUUGUGAUCGUUUCCGAGUUUCAUCUGCUUUGUAUAUAGCCUCGGCGCUUGCAUAUUAGCGGUGCCACGUUCGUGGGGGAGGGGUCAGGUAUUGGCCUACGUCCGCAAGGGUGCCGCCUCUUUCUCCAAGCACUGGCCCUAGGUGCGUGAAAGCUUGGUUCACCGAACGGCGCAUGCCCGUGAAAAGCACUGACGGGUACCCUGAAUAUCCAUAUUUGUUUCCGCUCUCUGUGCCGUAUCCUAGGACCAUGGACUCCUACUGCUCGGCGAUUUCCUCGACAAGAACGGUGUCCGCUGCAUGUGCAAGCACACACUGUUACAGUCGGCGGAGCGUUUAUGGAACGCAAUGCUUUCCAUGAUGAAAUGAAUGUCGGAAGAAAAACCGGGACCGUCGAUCAACUCGAGAAAUUCGAUCCUCCUGCGCUAACUUCGUGCAAACCGGCGAAUUACUCCCUAUUUGAAGUGAUCGCUGCGGUGACUCAGUUCCGAGUCCAGGAACCUUAUCUAUUCGAAUAGAGGAGGUGGGAGCGUCUGCGAGCAAAUGCGACAAGUAGUAUCAUGCCGCUGUCGAAUCCAGUUCCGUCGAUAGCCAUAAAGCGAGGCGGAUGCAUUUUUUGAACGGAGUCGAUUAUUGAUCGUGACAAGCAGAGUGAUGUUUUAGGCACGAGCUUGUACACAAACCACCAAGGGAUGAUGUCGCGUUGUUUUCCUCGUCGAUAGAGCGGUACGCAUUGAUGCGUCCACGGGUUGGCGUGCAUCAGAAAGGUCGCAAACCCGAAACACGCGUGCAUUGAGUAUGCCACAUGUAAGGAAAGGACGGGAACGAAGCCUGCAGAUAUGGAUUUGAUAUUGGUAUCCGUUAUUUAACAAACCCCUUGGUGGACGGUGUCGCGAACCCUCCUGUUGACGAUGAUGAAACGAGCGGCUUCUGUCGAGCGUUGCAUGCGCUACGCGGAAUACGUGUUCGAGAACCCAAAACUGCUUUUAUCCAUAAGCCCUUAUUGCUGCAUAUCGAUUGUCGAGGC
rnacentral:misc_RNA from 1 species